CUGGUUCGUUUGAGGUUCUAACCUUGGUCCGUUAUCCGGAUCGGGGACAGUGCAUGGUAGGCAGUUUGACUGGGGCGGUCUCCUCCUAAAGUGUAACGGAGGAGUUCGAAGGUACGCUAGGUACGGUCGGACAUCGUGCUAAUAGUGCAAUGGCAUAAGCGUGCUUAACUGCGAGACCGACAAGUCGAGCAGGUACGAAAGUAGGACAUAGUGAUCCGGUGGUUCUGUAUGGAAGGGCCAUCGCUCAACGGAUAAAAGGUACUCUGGGGAUAACAGGCUGAUUCCUCCCAAGAGUUCAUAUCGACGGGGGAGUUUGGCACCUCGAUGUCGGCUCAUCACAUCCUGGGGCUGUAGCCGGUCCCAAGGGUAUGGCUGUUCGCCAUUGUAAAGUGGUACGUGAGCUGGGUUUAAAACGUCGUGAGACAGUUUGGUCCCUAUCUGCCGUGGGCGUUGGAAAUUUGAAGGGGGCUGCUCCUAGUACGAGAGGACCGGAGUGGACGAACCUCUGGUGUACCGGUUGUCACGCCAGUGGCAUUGCCGGGUAGCUAAGUUCGGAAGAGAUAACCGCUGAAAGCAUCUAAGCGGGAAACUUGCCUUGAGAUGAGAUUUCCCGGAGCCUUGAGCUCCUUGAAGGGUCGUUCGAGACCAGGACGUUGAUAGGCUGGGUGUGGAAGUGCAGUAAUGCAUUAAGCUAACCAGUACUAAUUGCCCGUACGGCUUGUCCCU
rnacentral:ncRNA from 1 species